UACACCUCAUCGACCGGAAGGAAUCCCUUCUGGUCGAUGAGGUUGUUACACCUCAUCAAUCAGAAGGAAUCCCUUCUGAUCGAUGAGGACCGGAAGGGAUUCCUUUCGGAUGAGGACCAGAAGGGAUUCCUUUCGAUUGAUGAGGUGUAACAACCUCAUCAACCGGAAAGGAUUCCUUCCAGUUGAUGAGGUGUA
rnacentral:miRNA from 1 species